CAAUAGCGUAUAUUAAAGCUGUUGCGGUUAAAAAGCUCGUAGUUGGAUUUCUGUCAAGGACAACUGGUCCGCCCUCCGGGUGAGCACAUAGUUUGGUCUUGGCAUCUUGCUGGAAACUGUUGCUGCGCUUGGUUGUGUGGUGCAGCUUUCAGCACUUUCACUUUGAGGAAAUUGGAGUGUUUCAAGCAGGCACAUGCCUUUGGACACAGUAGCAUGGAAUAAUUAGAUUGGGCUUUUGCUCCAACUUGUUGGUUCCUGGAGCUGAGGUGAGAAUCAAUGGGGAUUGUUGGGGGCAUCCGAAUUUAGCCAUCAGAGGUGAAAUUCUUGGAUCUGCUAAAGACGGACAACUGCGAAAGCGUUUGCCCAGGAUGUUUUCAUUGA
rnacentral:rRNA from 1 species